rnacentral:rRNA from 1 species
AAGAGGUGGCCCCAAACCUGAAGGGAGCACGCCGCGUGAGGGAUGAAGGCCUCUGGGCUGUAAACCUCUUUUAUCUGGGAAGAAGAUCUGACGGUACUUGAUGAGUAAUCCACGGCUAAUUCCGUGCCAACAGCCGCGGUAAUACGGGAGUGGCAAGCGUUAUCCGGAAUUAUUGGGCGUAAAGCGUCCGCAGGCGGCCCUUCAAGUCUGCUGUUAAAAAGUGGAGCUUAACUCCAUCAUGGCACUGGAAACUGAUGGGCUCGAGUGUGGUAGGGGCAGAGGGAAUUCCCGGUGUAACGGUGAAAUGCGUAGAUAUCGGGAAGAACACCAGUGGCAAAGGCGCUCUGCUGGGCCAUCACUGACGCUCAUGGACGAAAGCCAGGGGAGCGAAAGGGAUUAAAUACCCCUGUAGUCCUGGCCGUAAACGAUGAACACUAGGUGUCGGGGGAAUCGACCCCUCCGGUGUCGUAGCCAACACAUUAAGUGUU